rnacentral:rRNA from 1 species
AUUGAACGCUAGCGGGAUGCUUUACACAUGCAAGUCGAACGGAAUGGCGGACGGGUGAGUAAUAUAUCGGACCAUUCCCUGUAGCGGGGGAUAACUACUCGAAGGAGAUGCUACUACCGCAUACUAUGGGAGCUACCGAUAUCGGAGUAGCUAGUGUGUGGGGUAAAGGCUAACCAAGGCCACGAUCCGUAGCGGGUUUGAGAGGACGACCAGCCACACUGGGACUGAGUCACGGCCCAGACUCCUACGUGAGGCAGCAGUGGGGAAUUUUGGACAAGGGGGGAAACCCUGAUCCAGCCAUCCCGCGUGUAUGAUGAAGGCCUUCGGGUUGUAAAGCACUUUUGGCAGAGAAGCGGUAUCUGCAGAAUAAGCACCGGCUAACUACGUGCCAGCAGCCGCGGUAAUUC